ensembl:lncRNA
GGGGGACGUGGGCCUCCCGACUGACAGCCUGCAAAGGAACGGCUCCGAUGUUCUGCUGUGCUGAUGUCCAUCAUUGCUGUGCUGUAACUGUCUGAGUGUAGAGCCUGAAUGCUGAGAGUGCCCUCAUAGGAACACAGGCCAGCAUCAGCACGGACAGCAGCACAGCGGAGACCACAGCAAUCACUGGGAUGUGGUGUUUUCGCAGCUCUUCGCCAACAGCGGCCGUUGUGAUUUUCCCAACAUCCACCCCUGGAAGAACCGAGACAAUGCCACAGGUUACUGUCAUCUGCGCUGCAGAUGAUCUCACAGUGUGCUUCAUGGACCCAAGAGGUUUCCUUUAUCAUCAGUGGGUACCUCCAUCUCUGGUGUAUAAGCACCAGAGGACAAGAAGGAUUGCUUCCACUUCUCGUUGGGCAGGGAGAGGCUGCACCGGCACUCUGGGCUGAGGGCUGGGGCUCUGCCCUGGGGUCUGGGCUUUGUCCGUCGGGAGCAGUGCAGAGCAGAAACCCUCACACUUUCCCCAGCACACAUGUCCUGAGCUCUCCGCCAGAACAUCCCCCAGGCUGAAGGUCGGCCUCCAGCCAGCACAAGGCACAGCUGGAGCCAGCCCAGCAGAGAAACACUCCUGCAGGCUCCUACCACACAGGGCCAGGCUCAUCGCCCUCGCGUUCCUUUAUAGCACGUGCUCUGUACUAGCCUGCUCACGUUUGGCUGCCGGCCUGCUGCGCAAGAGCAGGCAGGAAGGGCCUGGUGGCACACAGUGAUUCUGGUUGGUGACACCAGAUGACCAUGGGACUGAAAUUACCUGGCAAUCCAGCUGCUUGUUCUGCCUGUGUUUUUCUGUCAGAGACUGGCCGUGUGUCACUGCUGCUUUCCUGCAAUGGCUCCUUCUGCACAGUCUCUUGGUCAGUCCCUUUAGUCCCACCAUGCGCUGCCUUCUCCAUUUUCUUCACGGGUUCCUUUAGGACACGGGAUGACCACCAGUAGUACUUCCCUCUUCUAGGUGUAUCCUUUCCUCUGUUUCCUCUUUGCGGACCUUAACAGAAUGCAUGAAAUUCAGUCUCCCGUGCUUGAAGUUUUGAAGACCAGCAGUGCGUCAGUGGAAUCAGUGAAGACCAUCUACUCACCCAUGGGAUUCCAACUGGUCUCCAUCGCAGGAAGGAGCCGAGAAACCAGCAAGGCCCUCCCUGGGGGCACUUCUGCAACCAAAGACCCAUGAAAAGUUUCCGUGCACAACGGCAUCACUGAAUAGUGGAGCAUACCAGGGGAUCGUGCAAGGAAAGGGCAUACACGCACAGGACUACGCUCUCACACCUGCAGACAGACCUGGCCGACAUUUGGCCUUUGAGCUGGCAGCUCUCAAAGGAACUAAAAAGCCAUGACAUACCCAUGUGAUCUGCCGGAGUUUCAGUCCUGGAACUCAGAGGGGAAGCUGGAGCACCUUCAUUCCAGUCACACCUGCAAUCAAACACAGGACAGAGAGACUUUACUUAGACGUUCUUCCAGUCAGAAUGACAGGGGAUGCAAUUAAGACAGGGGAUUCCUUCGUGACGCUGUUCUCUCCGUUCCACAAAGGAGCAGCUUGGAAACAGAUCCUGG